UACGUAGGGUGCGAGCGUUAAUCGGAAUUACUGGGCGUAAAGCGUGCGCAGGCGGCUCUUUAAGUCAGAUGUGAAAGCCCCGGGCUUAACCUGGGAACUGCGUUUGAAACUGGAGGGCUGGAGUGUGGCAGAGGGAGGUGGAAUUCCACGUGUAGCAGUGAAAUGCGUAGAGAUGUGGAGGAACACCGAUGGCGAAGGCAGCCUCCUGGGUCAACACUGACGCUCAUGCACGAAAGCGUGGGGAGCAAACAGG
rnacentral:rRNA from 1 species